ACGGAAGGCAGCAGUGGGGGAUAUUGCACAAUGGGGGAAACCCUGAUGCAGCGACGCCGCGUGAGUGAUGAAGUAUUUCGGUAUGUAAAGCUCUAUCAGCAGGAAAGAUAAUGACGGUACCUGACUAAGAAGCACCGGCUAAAUACGUGCCAGCAGCCGCGGUAAUACGUAUGGUGCAAGCGUUAUCCGGAUUUACUGGGUGUAAAGGGAGCGCAGACGGCAUGGCAAGCCAGAUGUGAAAGGCAGGGGCUCAACUCCUGGACUGCAUUUGGAACUGUCAAGCUAGAGUAUCGGAGAGGUAAGUGGAAUUCCUAGUGUAGCGGUGAAAUGCGCAGAUAUUAGGAGGAACACCAGUGGCGAAGGCGGCUUACUGGACGAUAACUGACGUUGAGGCUCGAAAGCGUGGGGAGCAAACAGGAUUAGAUACCCUGGUA
rnacentral:rRNA from 1 species